UUCUGUGAUGACCAUCCUGAACAUAUGCCUAUCUCAUCUGGUCUCGGAAGCUAAGCAGGGAUGGGCUUUAGGUCUACAUCUGUGUGCACAGUGCUCUCUGGAA
rnacentral:rRNA from 1 species